CGAGAGCAAAAAAUCAUGCAGUGACACAAAGAUACAUGUCGGUGUUUAUACCUGACAACUUAUUGAGGGGGUACCUGAGGUAGUGUUUUGUGCGUGAGGCUCGUCGAAAACCAGGAACUCGAAAAUGAACUCGAACACACGAUUUAGACAGGUUCGGGCCGCUUAUAUCGCGUAAUAUCCUACGUCUUAUGUGUUGGUUGGAUUGUAUUGAUUGAUGAGAUGAGAUAAGAUGUUUGGAGCUAAGCUCCGCCGAUCUAGGUACCCCUGCCCUCCUUUAUAUACUCAGGGGGCGGGAUUACUAGUCGGUUACGAAGUAGUAAUUCUAGUAGAAUUACAUGGUAUAAGUCCUAGUAUGAUUAUAGAGGAAUCUUAGUAGGAGUCCGUCUUUUUCC
rnacentral:lncRNA from 1 species